CAGUAGGUGGGAGGUGUCAGCCGAGUCCAGCAGUGGCCAAGAUAAGGAUAAAAGGCUGUCUUCGCGACAGCCCACUACACUGGCUGCAGUGGCACAGAGCAGAACUCACACAUCUGAUUCUCCAGCAGUUGUUUAUUUGGCCUGACAGCAUUGUCCUUACAUCAUGUUCUGCAGAAGCGUUAGUUGGUUCAUCUGCAUUUUUGUCGCAGUUCUCACAGCUGCCGACUAUAGCGACUCUCAUCCCAGUACAGGAUUAGAUCCCGAAGUCACAGUCUACCACUUUGGAACUGACAAUAUGAGUAAGU